GCGCGAGCGCAGUGACGCGGAGGCCCGGCGGCGGGGAGGCCGGCGGGGCGGGGCGGGGCUCGGGCGGCCGCCGCCAUGGACCCGUUCCUGGUGCUGCUGCACUCGGUGUCCACCGGCCUGUCGGACGACGAGCUGACCGAGCUCAAGUUCCUGUGCCGGGCCCGCGUGGGCAAGCGGAAGCUGGAGAGCGUGCGCUGCGGCCUGGACCUGUUCGCGGUGCUGCUGGAGCAGAACGAGCUGGACGCCGAGCGCCCCGAGCUGCUGCGCGAGCUGCUCGCGUCGCUGCGGCGCCACGACCUGCUGCGGCGCCUGGACGCCUUCGAGGCGGGCGCGGCGGGCAGGGCCCCGCCGGAGGAGCGAGACCUGCGUGCCGCGUUUGACAUCGUCUGUGAUAACGUGGGGAGGGACUGGAGAAGACUGGCCCGGCACCUUCACGUGACAGACACCAAGAUCGAUGCCAUCGAGGAGAAGUAUCCCCGCAACCUGACUGAGCAGGUGAGGGAGUCGCUGAGAGUCUGGAAGAGCGCCGAGAGAGAGGACGCGACGGUGUCCCACCUGGUGAGGGCGCUCAGGGCCUGCCAGCUGAACCUGGUGGCCGACCUCGUCCUGGAGGAUCAGCAGGCCCGGGAGAACGAGACUGCGGGCAGUGGAGGUGGGGACAAGAGCCCCGCCGAGUCUCUGACGUCCUGGGAUUCGAAUGGGCCUGCCUUGGGGGGCCCCUGGUGACCCAGCUGCUCUUCUCCAGGGGCCCGAGGGCGUCCACGCAGCCCGAACUUGGGUCCCCCACCACCACCAAAGUUGACCAAGUGCCUUCCACGUGCCGGUGCUAUGAUGACCUAACAGGGAGCCAGGACAAGGGACCUCGGCGCUCUAGCCACUGCUGGCUUCACGGAGUGGUGCCUGGGGGGUUCAGCCGCCUGCAGUUCCUUUCAUUGGUGCCUCCGGAUCGCCCUUGAGAGGGAGAGUCUGUUGUCCCGUGAGAUAGUCCUGCACGAGGAAGUUUUGGAUCCAUGCCCAGCAGGUAGAAGGAACGUCAACGUCCUGGUGCUCAGUGCUGUUACUCAGCAGAUAUACUUGCGUGGGAGUGUCCCCAGCGAGGCACAGAGCAUGGGGUCCUCCGCUGACUCUGCCCCUCGUGGCUUCCCCUAAAAAGGGACAUUUUGGUAAAUCUCAAGUGCUUGCCCAGGCCUGUAGCAGCUAGCUCCUCAGGCACCUUGGAAUAAGCAGUGACAUUCUGCCCAGAGCCCCGGAGCUUCUGUCCCUCGGGCUCUCACUGUAGUGGGGCCAGCCCGGGGCCGCUGGCCCCAAGAUGUUGCUUGUCACCCUCACGUCUCAGCGUUUUCUCCACGGUUGAGCUGAACCACGGCUGCAAGGGAGCAGGUGUUCUGGGGCGGGUCUGACUGGCCGCUGAGUGGAACUAGGACCUUUGCGACGGGACCAGUGACGCCCUGCCCUGGAUCGGGGAGCGGCUACAUUUUCUAGAGGAAUCUCCCAUGGGAAACUCCCGAAAAACAAUUCAUGUUCCGUUUAGAUUUUUUUGUAAGACUUUUUCUUGAAAUGUGUACUUCCAGUAAAGUUUGCACACGA